rnacentral:rRNA from 1 species
AUAUGCACACAUCGCCCGUCGCUCUCGUGAUAAAUGAGAUAAGUCGUAACAUAGUAGAUGUAUUGGAAAAUGUAUCUAGAAAGUCA